AGCAGCCGCGGUAAUUCCAGCUCCAAUAGCGUAUAUUAAAGUUGUUGCAGUUAAAAAGCUCGUAGUUGAAUUUCGGGGUCAAUAAGUUGGUCAUGCCAAUGGUAUGCACUGGCUUUAUUGAUUCCUACCUCUUGACGAACUGUGAUGCCAUUAAUUUGGUGUUGCAAGGAAUCAGGACUGUUACCUUGAAAAAAUUAGAGUGUUUAAAGCAAGCUUACGCUUGAAUACAUUAGCAUGGAAUAAUGAAAUAGGACGUUUGAUCCUAUUUUGUUGGUUUCUAGGAUCGACGUAAUGAUUAAUAGGGAUAGUUGGGGGCAUUAGUAUUCAAUUGUCAGAGGUGAAAUUCUUGGAUUUAUUGAAGACUAACUACUGCGAAAGCAUUUGCCAAGGAUGUUUUCAUUAAUCAAGAACGAAAGUUAGGGGAUCGAAGACGAUCAGAUACCGUCGUAGUCUUAACCAUAAACUAUAGCCGACUAGGGAUCGGAUGAUGUUAAUUUUUUAAUGA
rnacentral:rRNA from 1 species